rnacentral:lncRNA from 1 species
CUUUCCGCUCCCAAGAACAGGGGCAAAAUUCAGUUGCAAGAAGAAGGUGCGAGUUGUCUUCCAAAUUCAUAGGGCUUCAACUACAAAAAUUCUUCAUAGGUACGAUUUUGAUUUCUCUCUUUAUUUCUAUUUCUGUUUAUAGAGCUUUUCGCUUCGAAGAACAGGGGCAAAAUUCAGCUGCAAGAAGAAGGUGCAAGUUGUCUUCCGAAUUCAUCGGGUUUCUUACUGUUUGACUUUCUAUUUCUUUGUUUUUGUUGGCCUAUUUUUGGUUACUCUUUCUAAAAAUUUAAUUUAAUGUUUGUUUUGUGUUUGAGAAACUAGUGCUUAUGUUUCUUUUACCAAUUAUGAGGGCUUGUGCGCAUUGGGUAGAAUAGAGGCUCUUGAGAAUAAUGUUCACUGUUUUUUUUUUAUUUUUUUUUACUAAUCUUAUGAUUGUGAAGUUUAUGUACUACUAGUAUUAGAGGUACUAUUCUGAAGAAUCUGAACAUAUGUAUUAACUAUUCAACAUCUAGUUAGGGAUAGAAGAAUCAUAACCGUCUAAUCCUUUCUAUGUACUUUUUUUUAGUUUGUCCCAAAAAAGAAUUGCACUUGGAAACAAUUAAAUCUUAAACUUCUCAUUUGACCAUAAUGAGAUAGAUUUAUAGCCCACACAAAUGUCUAUGGCUUGUUUUAAACUACAAGCUUCAAAAGUUUCUUUCUUAAAUUUCAAGACUAGUCAAACACCAUUAUAUAAAAUGGGAUCGGUGUCCAAAUCUCUUAGUUUGGACACGUCUACGUUUGUCAAGUAAGUCAAUCAUCUUAUCAAUCAUACCUCUAUCGAAACUAUUUGGGUCGGCUAUCAUUAUCAAUUCAGUGAUCCAUGAUUAUUACCCCAAAAUAUAUCCGAAAAAAUAACAACAACAACAACAACAACAAUAAUAUACUCAGUAUAAUUCUACAUAAUGGGAUCUGAGAAGGAUAAUAUGUAUGCAGACCUUACCCCUACCUUUGUGGAGGUAAAGAGGUUAUUUCCAAUAGACCUUCCGCUCAGACAACUAAUCAAAAUGCAACUUAAGGCAAAUACAUGUUCAUGAAUACGUCUGGUGUCUGGUGCAUUUGUUUGGAGGAUGAAAAUAAUUUGACAGUCGCUAUCUCAAAAAGUGUAAAAAUGAUAAGUGAAUUCUUUGAAAUAUUAUUUUGUAGCAAUAAUCAUUUCUAAUACUUGAUACAUAUCCAAUAUAGUAUACAAGUCCUUCAUUUCUAAUAGUUGUUUCUGCUUAUAAAUGUUAGGCGAGAGAGUUGGCUGAAUAAGAAUCUAACAGUGAUGGAGGUUUCCAGAUAUUUUUUUACAAUAUAUUUCAUCUUUUAACACAUGUUUUUUAUAAUUUCAGCUAGUUUGAUAAUUUAGCGGGUGGAAGAUUUCAAUAUUAUGAAAAAUUGCAGAAAUUAUUUGAAGAUAAUCAUUCGCCAGGAUUAGUUACAUAAUAGCAUUAGCUAUUUCGUUCAAAAAAUAUAAUUUUAUAUUUUAAGUUAAUGUGAUGUUGAUAUUUUUGAUUAGUACUUCCUUCUGUUUGUUCAGAUUUAGUGAGAUAUAUUAUAUUUUUUUGGGAUUAAUAUUGAUACAUCUUUUUGUUUGGAUCAUCUUUUGGAUGAAUGUAGUAACUAUUAUUAAUGAUGGCUAAAUUUUCCAUUACAACUUGUGACUUUUAGCUUUAAUUUAAUUGGAUAUAACGGUUAUAAAAAUGGACGAUGAAAGCGCAAAAUUAAUACGCUUCUACAAGGAUAUUAUAACCAUUAUAAUUAUUGGAAAACAAUUGUUGUUAAAGAUAUUGACUUUUAGCAGAAAUUUAGUUGAAUAUAUUAGCCGUUAAAAUGGAUGUUAAAAGGGUAGAAAGGUACUACAACAAUUCUAAUUGCCGCAAAACAAUUGCGAUUAAUGAUACAAACUUUUAUAUGCAAUUAUUUUGAAUUUAGUGGGUAUAUAAAAGGACGCUAAAGGAGCAUAAUUAGCCAUUUUUAGAUUGGAUUUAGCGACCAUCAUAAUUGCCGCAAAUAAUUGCCGUUAAAAUUAAUGAUUUUUAACUGCAAUAAAUCACACUUUUUACCAACUUUUGUGAUAAUGGCCGCUAAAGGCUUUGCUGACGCCAGUAUCAACGACUAAAUACCAAUGGCCAAUAAAAUAUAUAGCGGCUAUUGUUAUUGCCGCUAAAGCCAUUUUCGAUUGCCACUAGAGCCCUUUUUUGUUGUAGUAUGCGCUGGAGUUUUCUUUAGCUGCUCCUCCACAGAGUACUCUUUGGUCGACAUUCUCUUCCAGAACUCCGCGGCUUCUGGGUCUGUUAUGUUCCUUCUUUGUAUCUGUUCUCUUCCCAAGUUCCCUCGAUUUGCAUCGUCAAGAGCGUAUCAUCUCUCUGACCUGGUCAUACCGUGGGCUACUACCGAAUCUAUCAUCUUGGCCUUCCCUUUUUGCUGGUAGGUCCAUGGUACAGUUUUGUAUUCCCGACUCUCUUCAUCCCCUAUAGCAACGACAGGUUGUCUCUCUUAAGUCUGCACUAACACCAUAGGUCUCACUUGUACAGUAAUCAUUGGAGUCCUUUGAGGUGGGAUCCUGGCGGCUUCUGCAUUUCCUAUUGUGACAACCAUUCUCUUCAUAUCAUAUUCUUCGUUCAAUGUAAUCAUGUUGACCCCCUAGUUUCGAUGAUUUUGUCACACCCCAAACCUGGGGAGGUGUGGCUGGCAUCCGGUGCUGUACUGGCCCGAGGGAACCACUCUGUAACUUAUUCUUUCUCUAACUACCAUAAGCCAACAUGACCAUAACUUGUAAUGUAUAACUGUAAAUGGGCAAACAUUGUAUCACUGAUCCAUCAUUCUUAAAACAUGAAUACACAUGGAAAGUCAAGGCAUCUGACAUACUAUAUAUAAUGAUCCUGUGUUUACAAAGCCUCUAAGAUUAUUUGACAUCAAACGGGACAGGGUACCGGCCUACCCAUGAGUCCGUAGCAAAACUCUGACACGAUGACUUAUAGACUCGGCUGCACUCCGAAUGAGGUGGAGUCUUACCGAUCCUCCGCUGAAUGCUAACCUCGUCUAUAUUGAGGGCUUGUCAAAUUGAUUAUCUAUAACUACAGGCAUGAAUGCAGCGUCCCCAACAAAAGGACGUUAGUACGAAUAAUGUACCGAGUAUGUAAGGCAUGUAAAUAAGUAUAUAAAGAACAUGGAAGAAAUAUGGAGCAAAGGACUCAACCUGUAAGUUUGGAUAGCUUUGUAAAUCAUGAAAUAUUUAUAAUGUCAUGCAUAUGCGUUGAAUGUCAUAUAUGCAUAGGUCUAUAUGUACAUAACAUUAUCAAGUCUCUGAGGGUAUCCCAUCAUAUCAUCUCAGCCUCUGUGGGCAAAAUCAUCAACGUAUACCAGCUGAUCGGGUGGUGGUGCGUUUAUAUUGCUGUAAACUUUUCCUAUAUACUAUAUAUAUAUAUAUAUAUAUAUAUAUAUAUAUAUAUAUACUAGCGUAUAUGACGCCAUCUGGUCAUGGGUAAAUGCACAUGUAUAAAUGAAUGCAAUGCAUAAUGAAGUAAUUCAAUACGAUCUCUUGGAAUGUCAUGAGACCCAUGAUAGAUGAUAUAGUAGUACGCUUGUCAAUAUUAUUUGAGUCUAAACUAGAUAUUAAUCCUAGUGAUUGCAUUUUCUUUAUAUACGCGACAUUAACAUGUCUUAGUCUAGCAUGCCAUAAAGAGAUAGACUCAACCAUAUAAGCAGAAGCAAAUGCAUUUUUAUUGCCAGUAUCAGAAAUAUUAAGCACAAAUAAACCAUGGUUACAAUAUACAUUGCCUACAAAAAUAUUAUUUUUGGUCGAUACAACCUCAUCAUUCUCGAAAGAAACUUUCACUCCAAUGUUUGCUUCCCUAUAAUUGAAAUACCCGACAAACAGUGAAUAAAUAUAUUUUAUUUUGAGAAAACCCUUUUACUACUAACCGAGCUUUAUAUUUAUCUAUAGAUCCUUCAAGAUUAAAUUUCUUUUUGAAAAUUAAUUUACAACCAAUAGGCUUUGCACUAGGAGGUAAAUCAGUUAAAAUCCAUGUAUUAUUUUUCAAAAUAGAAUCGAUUUCAACUUUUAUUGCUAGCAGUGAGAAAAUACGUUCUUUCCAACGCUUGAAAUUUUCAUUGGUAAAAAUUUCGAUAUUCGAAACAUCUGGAUAUGGCAUGGCAUAUGAUAGUGCAACUGGAACUAGGGCAGCGUAGGUAACAUCAAUAUUGGUAGUAUUAGCAUAUUUUACUUUGCUUCUUUCGUUCCUCUCCAGCUUCCUUUUCUUUCCUCUUUAAAACAUUUGUAGUCUAUUUUGUUUGUUCCCUUUUUUAAAUAGCUGGGUUUGUAAUUUAAUAUUUUUGCAGAUUUCUGUAUCCUCCUAAAAUAGAGAUAGGCUUGUUUAAUCCCGGAAAGACAUUUCACACUAUUGAAAUAGAUUCUUAGGACAAAGCCAAGCACGAAUAAAGCCAAUUCGUGUAUUUCUGCACGAAAAAAUAAUAUUGUAGUGUUUUUAUUUUCCGGUGUCGUUAUUACUAUUAUAAUAUUAUUACAAAAUAAUAUUAUUGAGUACUUUGCCCAAAUGUAUUGCAUCCUAUGUCUAUACAUUAUGAUUGCCAAGCGGCAAUAGUUAUAGUAAAGAAAAAAUCCUAUAAUUGUAAAAGUAGACAUAUGAAAUUGAGACAUGAUGUCGUAAAGCAGCUGCUGAGAGAUGGAAUAAUUUCCAUUGAUUAUGUGAAGUCAGAAAUUAAUUUGGCCGAUUCUCUGACUAAACUAGUGGGAAGAAAAUUAAUUCUUCAAAC